rnacentral:lncRNA from 1 species
CGAAUGAUAGAUUACACCUUUCAAGAUGACUUGGUAAAUGUUCAAUUGGUUCAAUGUUUUAGUGGAUCAGCAUAUUAACAAUUGAAUGUGUAAACUGCAGACAUCAAAGCCGGAAUACAGUCAGAUUCUCGUAAAAAAGCCCGGUGGCGUUAGUAUUUGGCCUUACUAGCGGAAUAUCUCAUCGUUGGAUAAACAUUUGGUAUAUCAUUCGGAUUUUCUUGUACUUUUUUGUAACACAACAGAUUAUCUUGCCAUCCUUCUAUUUUUAUUUGCAAAUCCUUCUUAUAUACCUUUGUAGUGAUCAUGGACUGCAUUUCUUAAUCCCUCCUAUCAACUUUUUUGUGAUUCAUUCCUUGCUACUUGGUCUCAAUCCUUUGGAACUUGGCAAUCCCUCAACCAGAAAAAAGCCUUAAGGAUUUUUUUUCCAGUUUCAACGUGUUUUUCGUGUCCUUUUCUUUUUGUCGAAUAACCUGCAUUUAGUAUCUCCCGAAUGAUAGAUUACACCUUUCAAGAUGACUUGGUAAAUGUUCAAUUGGUUAAAUGUUUUAGUGGAUCAGCAUCUUAACAAUUGAAUGUGUAAACUGCAGACAUCAAAGCCGGAAUACAGUCAGAUUCUCGUAAAAAAGCCCGGCGGCGUUAGUAUUUGGCCUUACUAGCGGGAUAUCUCAUCGUUGGAUAAACAUUUGGUAUAUCAUUCGGAUUUUCUUGUACCUUUUUUGUAACACAACAGAUUAUCUUGCCAUCCUUCUAUUUUUAUUUGUAUCUGUACAUGUAAUUAUAUGACGAUUAAACAACAGCUUUCAAUAUUUGUCUACGGGUUAUUCGACGGACAAGGAUUGUCUGCCCUCCACUUCCAGUACCCUCCUGUUUUGUGUGAUCACAGUUAAGCCACGUCAACAUUUUAUAUUAUUUUUUUAUAGAUAGAUAUAAUAAGACA